GCAUGACCCUCAACGACGGAACUGAGACACGGUCCGUACACCUACGGGUGGCAGCAGUCGAGAAUAUUCGACAAUGGGCGAAAGCCUGAUCGAGCGACACCGCGUGCAGGAUGAAGGCCUUCGGGUCGUAAACUGAGGUAGAUAGGUAACAAUGCAAAUGAGUGCCUAUCGGAAAGAGGUGGGUAACUACGUGCCAGCACCAGCGGUAAUACGUAGACCUCAAGCGUUAUCCGGAUUUAUUGGGCGUAAAGCGCGUGUAGGAGGUUCCGCGCGUCUUCUGUUAAAGCCCACCGCCCAACGGUGGAAGUGCAGGAGAUACGGCGGAACUAGAGGGGGUUAGAGGUGCAUGGAACGCACGGUGUAGGGGUGAAAUCCGUUGAUAUCGUGCGGAACACCAAAGGCGAAGGCAGCGCACUGGCCCUCACCUGACGCUCACACACGAAAGCCAGGGUAGCGAACGGGAUUAGAUACCCCGGUAGUCCUGGCCCUAAACGUUGCUCGCUCGCUCUACGGAGUAUCGACCCUCUGUGGGGCUAAGCUAACGCGGUAAGCGAGCCACCUGGGUAGUACGAGCGCAAGCUUAAAACUCAAAGGAAUAGACGGGGACUCGCACAAGCGGUGGAACAUGAGGUUUAAUUCGAUAGUAAGCGAGGAACCUUACCAGGGUUUGAAAUUCUUCUUGACCGGCGAUGGAAACAUUGCCUUUCUCACAAGGACAAGAAGGACAGGUGCUGCAUGGUUGUCGUCAGCUCGUGCUUUGAAGUGUUCCCUUAAGUGGGGUAACGAGCGCAACCCCUAUUCGACGUUACAAGUGUCGUCGAGAACUGCCCAGCCCUAAUUUCGCGAACGCCGUUCGUAAAAUUAGGGCUGGGAGGAAGGAGGGGACGACGUCAAAUCCGCAUGGCCCUCUGAUACCCUGGGCUACACUCGUGUUACAAUGGCAGCGACAAUGGGUCGCCAACCCGCAAGGGGGAGCUAAUCCCAUCAAACGUUGCCCCAGUUCGGAUUGAGGGCUGCAACCUGCCCUCAUGAAGCCGGAAUCGCUAGUAAUCGCAGAUCAGCAACGCUGCGGUGAAUACGU
rnacentral:rRNA from 1 species